CUAGAGCUGAAAAUGAAUACAAGUCAUAAAACAUGGGCAUUUCUAGUUAUACUUAGUUUAUAAAAUAUUACAUUUGCUUCUUUUGACAGUGAAUUACUGUUGAAAUUGUUCUUUGACAGUGCAAUUUGCAUAAAACCCUAAUUUUUUUUUAUUCAAUAAUUGCAUUGAAAAUGUAUAUAGUUUUAAGGCUUUUCUUUUUUUAGCUGCUUUAAUGUAUGACAAAAAUGGCAAAACAUUUGGAACUGCAACAAAUCUUAAAUGUAUUAAUGUACUGAACAAAAUCAAUUUAAGCAUGCUAGGUACAUGUCACGGACGCUACCUCGGCCCAGUGGCAUUUUAAGAAAUGGCCAUGAGCAUAUAUGUGAUCUGACCCCUGGUGGCUGGACUGCAGAGUACAUGUGGAAUGGCAGCGCAGGGCAGAGCCACAAGGGUCCCAUCUGUGUACCCUUCGCUCGUCAUCCUAGAGAAGCCGGCCGCUUUCUGAAUCCUGUUCCACCUGUAGGUGUCGGGGGAAACCUCACUACUGCUGCCAAUAGUCAGAGCUCUUCGGCUGGUCUGGCCGUGCGUGUGUGUGGGUCUCCAGGCCUCGACGGACGCAUAUACACAUCUGACCUGUACCCUCCGUCACAUCGUCUUGAUGAUGGGGACACAGACUGUGACGUGGCUGAUGCAUCCAUUUUUGACUUCUCUUCUGUAACGACCUGUAGCCCAGAUGAAACUCUGAAUCGACUCAGGGGAGCGGAAGCACGUGAUGAUGAGGAUGAUGAUGAUGAAGAGGACAGUGAGGUUCCAGUUCUCCUCAAACCUUCAUACACUCACAAUUCUUCAGCUGUGCAGACAGGGGGAAGCUUAUGCAUGCAGUGGCAGAUUCCUAGACGGGCUCCUAUUCCUGCUGAGGUUUGCAUUGGGGCUCAAGGAAAAACGCUUGCCCCAAAACCACACAGAAUCCCUGUCAGUGCCUUCCGGCCAAUUUGGGACCCGACUUAUUCACAGGGUGAUGUGACUCCUGCAAAAGAGAACUCUGUGUCUUUCAGCUCAACAAAUCAGAUCAUUAAUCAGCAGCAAGAGACUGACCUAUCACGAUCUGCAUAUAGAGGGACUGGAGUCCAGCGGGCUGAAGCAGUGUGGCAUGACAGUGAGGACAGUGAAGGACCCUGCAGUACAGUCUGA
rnacentral:lncRNA from 1 species